UCCUUAUCGAGAGAGGCAGAGGGACUGGCCCUUUGAAGCCCGGCAACCUCAGUUUAUAUAAAACUGAACAGGUGCUAAAUCCUGCAAAAUGCACUGCAUUUUGGAAGAUAAAAU
rnacentral:ncRNA from 1 species